rnacentral:piRNA from 1 species
UGCGAUAGCCUCACUGGGGUGGAUGA